CACUGUGAGAGGAGACGGUGAGAGAGGGUGAGGGAAGGACGAGAGUUGGAUUGUAGUAGGCAAUGCAUUAAUUUAAUUAAAAGCAGCGCAAGUUGCGGUAAAUUUGAAAUUUGUGUAAAUUCAACUUGUUUAGAAAACACUCGAAAGCAUUUAAUUGGCAUUUAGUUAUGCCAGCCGAGCUGCCAACCUGAUUUGUGAGUGUCUGCCUCAGUGUAUGUGUGUGUGUGUGUGUGUGUGUGUGUGUGUGGCAGGCUAAGCUAAGCCAGCUGCAGCAGCAACCCCUUGCGCAAACGACGCCACUGCACACACUGGCACAGAGGUCAGUAGCCUUAUCAGCAGCAUUUGUUAUUACACUCACCCACACAUAGUUGGUUUUGGCAAAGCUCUCUCUUUCUUUCGCUCUCUCUCCCGUUCUAUCUGUCUGUCUGCCUGCUGUUCUCUUAAUGCAAGCUCUCUUAGCUGCUGAAAUAUGCAAACGGUGGCUAAUUAAAAGCCACAGCAUCCCAAUGUUGCCUUGUUUACAUUGCCCCUCUCACAGCGAUGCUGAUGCUCUUUGGCCGUUGCCCAUUUCCCCUCGGCUUGCGCAAGCCACUCGUUGCGCUCUCUCCUGCUGCAAGUGCGACAAAAGCCGAGUCGAGUCGAAGCUUUUGGACAGCAGCUUUGUCGUGUUCGCUUGGUGGGGUUUUGGUUCGGGUCUGGGCGCUCGUGUCGUUUCGGGUCGUGUCGUGCUUUGUUGGCUCGUGUUCGCAGCAUCUUUCGAGCGAAAUUCACUCAGUUUCAUUAUUUCAGAUUCAUUUGGCUGCAGACCUCGCUCGUGUCCAGUUCUUUGGCGCGGCAAAUAGAUGGCAACAAAGGCUGUUGGCUUUAACAGUUAUACAGUUAUACAGUUAACCCAUAGACUACAAAUUGUGUUAGCAGUUACUUAUGCGUGUCAGAAGAGUAUGUGAGUGUGCCUGUGCCUGUGUAUGCGUGAGUGCCGCCGACAAGCAAUCAAUACGAGCUAGAAAGAGAGAGAGAGAGAGAGAGGGAGUUGAGUGCAAGAAAUAUGUGUGUGAGUGUGGAUGAAUAAAGGAACAGCAGAAGCGAGCAACAGCCGUCGGCAUUUUGUGCGGCCCGGUAGAGCGCUGUUUAAAGUUGACGUUGAUGUUGAUGUUGAUGACGUAUGGACAGUUGAUGUCGCCACUUUUAAAGCCGCUAACCAGCGGCCACCGAAGCAGACGGCGGAAAUUUUCAAAUGCGCUGACAGCGCCAGCCCACAACCAGAACGGCGCGGCGACAGCCAGCGACUGCAGCGGCUAACAUGCGAGAUGACUACGCAACUAUGGCCGUGCGACACGCGUUAUCAUUGGACACAUAAUUGCCCUCAAUCGGGCUAAAUGAAAAACAACUCGUUGCCGCCCCACAAAAAAACACGAAAAAAAACGACAAAAAAAAAAAAAAAUGAUAUAAUAAACUAUCAUCUAUAAGUAUCCGCACAUAACAAUUAAGCGCCCCGAGACUCUUAAUUGAAAUGCUUCCAAGGCAAACAAAUCAACAGCGCCGGAAGAGACGCCGAGUGAAGCCCCAAACAACAACAAAUUGUGGCACGCAAAUUGGAAUUUCAUUGGCGGGUAAGUUUUCGGCUUUCCAUAACUGUAUAGCUAUGAUAUAUGUCUUUAAGUGUAUCCAUAGCUCAUUCUCAUUUAGAUGGUCUAUGCUCCUUUUUGGCAUUACGCCUAUGCCACAUGGCCAUCAUUAAAGUACACGUAAUGUAUGUGUGUGUAUAUGACAUAUGGAGCCCCUACUCAUUAUGCAUACAUUUACACACACACGUAUAUAUACCCACUUAUUUGGUCGAGUAAUACCAUAAAUACAUAUGCUUAUCGCACUCCGCUACCAUGAGCUGAUAAGAAGAAUGCUACAAACACAUUUAAAUAUGUACAUAUACGCACACACACACAAAGACACACGCUUGUAUGUUUCACUCAAUUUUAUGUAGAUUAGAGAACAGUUUUAUUAGAAACUCAUUCCGAUCUAUUCAUAAGUGCUUCAUUGAGCAUUGUCUUUCAGCUAUAAGCAAAGUCCUCUAGCAAUAGAAGUAAAAGAUAGCUAAAAACCAAAUCAAAACGGUCUGUCAUAGAAGCCCUCCAAGUACCCAACCCCAACCCUGAAGCCCACAUAAAUCAUUUCCUGGAAAACGGAAUACAAUAGAAAUACAGAAAAGAA